rnacentral:rRNA from 1 species
CCUACGGGAGGCAGCAGUGAGGAAUAUUGCACAAUGGGCGAAAGCCUGAUGCAGCAACGCCGCGUGAGCGAUGAAGGCCUUCUGGUCGUAAAGCUCUGUCCUCAGGGAAGAUAAUGACGGUACGUGAGGAGGAAGCCCCGGCUAACGACGUGCCAGCCGCCGCGGUACUACGUCGGGGGCUAGCGUUAUCCGGAAUUACUGGGCGUAAAGGGUGCGUAGGGGGUUUCUUAAGUCAGAGGUAAAAGGCUACAGCUCAACCGGAGUAAGCCUUUGAAACUGGGAACCUUGAGUGCAGGAGAGGAGAGUGGAAUUCCUAGUGUAGCGGUGAAAUGCGUAGAUAUUAGGAGGAACACCAGUUGCGAAGGCGGCUCUCUGGACUGUAACUGACACUGAGGCACGAAAGCGUGGGGAGCAAACAGGAUUAGAUACCCCAGUAGUC